rnacentral:tRNA from 1 species
GACCGAAUGGCGUAGUGGUUAGUGACCCAGACUACUGAGCCGAUGGUCCCGGGUUUGAUUCCCGGCUGGGGCA